UCGGGAAUUUUGGGCAAUGGGCGAAAGCCUGACCCAGCAACGCCGCGUGAGGGAUGAAGAAUUUCGGUAUGUAAACCUCGAAAGAAUGGGAAGAAUAAAUGACGGUACCAUUUAUAAGCUCCGGCUAACUACGUGCCAGCAGCCGCGGUAAUACGUAGGGAGCAAGCGUUGUUCGGAUUUACUGGGCGUAAAGGGCGCGUAGGCGGCGCGGUAAGUCACUUGUGAAAUCUCUGAGCUUAACUCAGAACGGCCAAGUGAUACUGCUGUGCUAGAGUGCGGAAGAGGCAACCGGAAUUCUUGGUGUAGCGGUGAAAUGCGUAGAUAUCAAGAGGAACACCUGAGGCGAAGGCGGGUUGCUGGGCCGACACUGACGCUGAUGCGCGAAAGCCAGGGGAGCAAACG
rnacentral:rRNA from 1 species